GACGAACGCUGGCGGCGUGCCUAAUACAUGCAAGUAGAACGCUGAAGGAGGAGCUUGCUUCUCUGGAUGAGUUGCGAACGGGUGAGUAACGCGUAGGUAACCUGCCUGGUAGCGGGGGAUAACUAUUGGAAACGAUAGCUAAUACCGCAUAACAGUAGAUACCGCAUGAUAUCUACUUGAAAGGUGCAAUUGCAUCACUACCAGAUGGACCUGCGUUGUAUUAGCUAGUUGGUGAGGUAACGGCUCACCAAGGCGACGAUACAUAGCCGACCUGAGAGGGUGAUCGGCCACACUGGGACUGAGACACGGCCCAGACUCCUACGGGAGGCAGCAGUAGGGAAUCUUCGGCAAUAGACGGAAGUCUGACCGAGCAACGCCGCGUGAGUGAAGAAGGUUUUCGGAUCGUAAAGCUCUGUUGUAAGAGAAGAACGAGUGUGAGAGUGGAAAGUUCACACUGUGACGGUAUCUUACCAGAAAGGGACGGCUAACUACGUG
rnacentral:rRNA from 1 species